GCUGCACAGGCCAUUGCCUUGUUGGAGGCGCUCCCAAAAAUGUUCCCUUCCCCAACCGCCCCUCCAAGAAAACUCAAGUCGGCAAGUGAGGCACUGUACCAUGUCCUUGAGCCAUCUGAGGACCCCAAUGUCUUCUUGCGUAACUGAUGACCUUGCCAAGGGACAUGCUUCUGGAAUCCCUCAUGAUACUGAUGGGAUGCUACUAUGUGUUCCAGUUAACCUAUUCCAAGUGUAUUGCUAGGCUAUUGUCCAUAAUACAAACAGAGGUACUCAAAGAUUUUAUUCACGAGAGUGACAAGACGACAACAUAUAAAAAGGUGCUUGCUGACUGUCAAGCAUUCAUCCAAACCUA